GGGUAGGUAGCGAAGUGGUUAAACGCAUCAGACUGUAAAUCUGACGGCUAUGGCCUUCGGAGGUUCGAAUCCUUCCCUACCCACGA
rnacentral:tRNA from 1 species